CAUUAAAACACCGGUUCACUUACGAUCAGCGAAGGUAAGAAACGUCGUACCUGGUCAGUACUUAGAUGUAUGACCGCUUGGAAAGUCCAAGUGUUGGA